UACGGGAUAAUAUAUUUGAGAGGCAUCUCUUGAAUAUCAAAGGUGAGCCAGUACAGGAUGGACCCGCGUCUGAUUAGCUAGUUGGUAAGGUAACGGCUUACCAAGGCGACGAUCAGUAGCCGACCUGAGAGGGUGAUCGGCCACAUUGGAACUGAGACACGGUCCAAACUCCUACGGGAGGCAGCAGUGGGGAAUAUUGCACAAUGGGCGAAAGCCUGAUGCAGCAACGCCGCGUGAGUGAUGAAGGCCUUCGGGUCGUAAAACUCUGUCCUCAAGGAAGAUAAUGACGGUACUUGAGGAGGAAGCCCCGGCUAACUACGUGCCAGCAGCCGCGGUAAUACGUAGGGGGCUAGCGUUAUCCGGAUUUACUGGGCGUAAAGGGUGCGUAGGCGGUCUUUCAAGUCAGGAGUGAAAGGCUACGGCUCAACCGUAGUAAGCUCUUGAAACUGGG
rnacentral:rRNA from 1 species